CCCGACUACAUGAAGCUGGAAUCGCUAGUAAUCGCGGAUCAGAAUGCCGCGGUGAAUACGUUCCCGGGUCUUGUACACACCGCCCGUCACACCAUGGGAGUCGGAAAUGCCCGAAGCCGGUGACCUAACCUUUCAGGAAGGAGCCGUCGAAGGCAGGUCUGAUAACUGGGGUGAAGUCGUAACAAGGUAUC
rnacentral:rRNA from 1 species